rnacentral:lncRNA from 1 species
UUCUGUACCAGAUUUAUUUUAUUGAUAUUACUCCAUGGAUUUGUCUUCUCAGUUGCGACUUGAUCGUCAGUAUGCAAAGACCGGUGCUAGGGACCGUCUUAAACUUGCUCUGAGAUGAGAAUUUUUGCUUCGUAAUGAACGAUUCCCUGUGACUUUGAGAUUAAGAAAAGCUAUAAAUACGCUGUUCCCUUAUUUUUUCUUUUUUAUUUGCUUUGCAUAUACCAAUUGGGUGUGACUGAUGGAUACCCCAUAUCAUUUCUUUUCAAUUCAAACUAUAACAAAAUACGACGUCCACUGCUUCACAAGUUCGCGGUUUAGGACAAGCAAAUAAAUAUUUAAACAAGUGAAUGAAAACUCAAACCAUAACAUGAAUUAAGCCAUUUUCCGAAAUAUUAAUUAGUAUAUUGUUCGAUUCUCAAAUGAACAUAUAAAACACAUGAAGC